rnacentral:rRNA from 1 species
AGAGUUUGAUCAUGGCUCAGGAUGAACGCUAGCGGCAGGCUUAAUACAUGCAAGUCGAACGGUAACAGGUGUAGCAAUACAUGCUGACGAGUGGCAGACGGGUGAGGAACGCGUACGCAACUUCCCUCAAACCGGGGCACAACCUUGAGAAAUCAGGGCUAAUUCCCCAUAACAUUGCAAAAGGGCAUCUGAUUGCAAUUAAAGAUUUAUCAGUUUGAGAUAGGCGUGCGCCUGAUUAGCUAGUUGGUAGGGUAACGGCCUACCAAGGCAACGAUCAGUAGCUGGUGUGAGAGCACGACCAGCCACACGGGCACUGAGAUACGGGCCCGACUCCUACGGGAGGCAGCAGUAAGGAAUAUUGGUCAAUGGACGAAAGUCUGAACCAGCCAUGCCGCGUGAAGGAUGAAGGCCCUCUGGGUCGUAAACUUCUUUUAUCUAUGAAUAAACGCCCGAUUUCUAUUGGGUUUGAAGGUAAUAGAUGAAUAAGCACCGGCUAACUCCGUGCCAGCAGCCGCGGUAAUACGGAGGGUGCAAGCGUUAUCCGGAUUUACUGGGUUUAAAGGGUGCGUAGGCGGAUUGAUAAGUCAGCGGUGAAAUACUCUCGCUUAACGAGGGAACUGCCGUUGAUACUAUUAAUCUUGAAUACGGUUGAGGCGGAUAGAAUGUGUCAUGUAGCGGUGAAAUGCUUAGAUAUGACACAGAAUACCAAUUGCGAAGGCAGUUCGCUAAGCCGUUAUUGACGCUGAGGCACGAAAGCGUGGGGAUCAAACAGGAUUAGAUACCCUAGUAGUCC